UCCGUAGGUGAACCUGCGGAAGGAUCAUUACCGAGUGUAGGGUUCCUAGCGAGCCCAACCUCCCACCCGUGUUUACUGUACCUUAGUUGCUUCGGCGGGCCCGCCAUUCAUGGCCGCCGGGGGCUCUCAGCCCCGGGCCCGCGCCCGCCGGAGACACCACGAACUCUGUCUGAUCUAGUGAAGUCUGAGUUGAUUGUAUCGCAAUCAGUUAAAACUUUCAACAAUGGAUCUCUUGGUUCCGGCAUCGAUGAAGAACGCAGCGAAAUGCGAUAACUAGUGUGAAUUGCAGAAUUCCGUGAAUCAUCGAGUCUUUGAACGCACAUUGCGCCCCCUGGUAUUCCGGGGGGCAUGCCUGUCCGAGCGUCAUUGCUGCCCAUCAAGCACGGCUUGUGUGUUGGGUCGUCGUCCCCUCUCCGGGGGGGACGGGCCCCAAAGGCAGCGGCGGCACCGCGUCCGAUCCUCGAGCGUAUGGGGCUUUGUCACCCGCUCUGUAGGCCCGGCCGGCGCUUGCCGAACGCAAAUCAAUCUUUUUCCAGGUUGACCUUGGAUCAGGUAGGGAUACCCGCUGAACUUAAGCAUAUCAAUAAGCGGAGGA
rnacentral:rRNA from 1 species